GGGGCUGUAGUUCAGCAGCAGAACACCGGUUCGGCAGGCCGGCGACGAGGGUGCGACUCCCUCCAGCUCCA
rnacentral:tRNA from 1 species